rnacentral:lncRNA from 1 species
CCCAGUUCGAGCUUCCUGGCUGCUUUGUUUACCUAAUCAAGCCUGGGCAAUGGCGGGCGCCCCUCCCCCAGCCUCGCUGCCGCCUUGCAGUUUGAUCUCAGACUGCUGUGCUAGCAAUCAGCGAGACUCCGUGGGCGUAGGACCCUCCGAGCCAGCAAGCUUGAAGGUGAGCACCUCGAAGGGCUUCUUUUUAUGUUGAAAGGCACGGGUUUGCAUGGCGGUUCAUCAGAGGUCAAUACCCCAGUUUGAGAAAGUCCACUGUGGGGAGGAAAGAGAGACUUAAACAAGCCCUGGAAAAACAAAGAAUGGAACACCCCUCCGCUGACUUCAACCAACUGCCUGCUGAUGCGGCCUGACUCCCAGCCCUUUUUGCAGUUUUGAAGUGACAAACUGACUAGGCUACAAAGUAUUCAACCAUGGGCUGGUUCUGGCUGGUUCACCGAGGCUGUGUACAAAGUGUCUUCAUGUCCUGUGUUUCACCUUUUAACAUACAGAACCUAAUUUUACUGCAUUUUAAUGUUAAUUCUCCACUCGAAGGUGAACAUGGGAUGUAUGUAACACAUAUGUUUGCUUAUCAAGCACACAUAUGACCCCCUUUCAUGAAUAUUCAUAGUUCCCCCUGUGACCUGUUGAAUAUGUCUGUUUAGCCAACCUGUUUGGCAUAAAACUCCUAUCCCACCCUAUCUCCCUCAAAGUACCUGUUUGUGGUCUCAGCUGGAGGUGCCACUUCCCAGCCUGCAGUUUGCAACCCUUCUCAAGAAAUAAAGUCUUCCUUUCCAAG